rnacentral:tRNA from 1 species
GCGCCCUUAGCUCAGCUGGAUAGAGCAACGGCCUUCUAAGCCGUAGGUCGAACGUUCGAAUCGUUCAGGGCGUGCCA